rnacentral:tRNA from 1 species
GCCAAUCUGGCUCAGUGGAUAGAGCAUCGGCCUGCAGACUGAAAGGUCCCGGUUCAAUUCCGGUCAAGGGCA